GAUGAAGAACGUAGCGAAAUGCGAUAAGUAGUGUGAAUUGCAGAAUUCAGUGAAUCAUCGAAUCUUUGAACGCACAUUGCGCCCCUUGGUAUUCCAUGGGGCAUGCCUGUUCGAGCGUCAUUUCAACCAUCAAGCCCCAGGCUUGCGUUGGAGCCCUGCGGCUGCCGCAGCCUCCUAAAAGCAGUGGCGGGCUCGCUAUCACACCGAGUGCAGUAGAUUACUCUUCGCUCAGGGCGUGCAGCGGGUUCCGGCCGUGAAACCCCCUACUUUUAAAGGUUGACCUCGGAUCAGGUAGGAAUACCCGCUGAACUUAAGCAUAUCAAUAAGCGGAGGA
rnacentral:misc_RNA from 1 species